UACAGAGGUCUCAAGCGUUGUCCGGAUUUACUGGGCGUAAAGAGCGCGUAGGCGGAAGCUUAAGUGUGGCCUGAAAGCCCCCGGCUCAACCGGGGAGAGCGGCUGCAAACUGGGUUUCUUGAGGGCGGCAGAGGAGAGUGGAAUUUCUGGUGUAGCGGUGAAAUGCGUAGAGAUCAGGAGGAACACCCGUGGCGAAGGCGGCUCUCUGGGCCGACCCUGACGCUGAGGCGCGAAAGCGUGGGGAGCGAACGGG
rnacentral:rRNA from 1 species